UGGGGAAUAUUGGACAAUGGGCGCAAGCCUGAUCCAGCAAUGCCGCGUGAGUGAUGAAGGCCUUAGGGUUGUAAAGCUCUUUCGCACGCGACGAUGAUGACGGUAGCGUGAGAAGAAGCCCCGGCUAACUUCGUGCCAGCAGCCGCGGUAAUACGAAGGGGGCUAGCGUUGUUCGGAAUUACUGGGCGUAAAGGGCGCGUAGGCGGCCUGUUUAGUCAGAAGUGAAAGCCCCGGGCUCAACCUGGGAAUAGCUUUUGAUACUGGCAGGCUUGAGUUCCGGAGAGGAUGGUGGAAUUCCCAGUGUAGAGGUGAAAUUCGUAGAUAUUGGGAAGAACACCGGUGGCGAAGGCGGCCAUCUGGACGGACACUGACGCUGAGGCGCGAAAGCGUGGGGAGCAAACAGGAUUAGAUACCCUGGUAGUCCACGCCCGUAAACGAUGAAUGCUAGACGUCGGGGUGCAUGCACUUCGGUGUCGCCGCUAACGCAUUAAGCAUUCCGCCUGGGGAGUACGGCCGCAAGGUUAAAACUCAAAGGAAUUGACGGGGUCAUAGCUGUUUCCU
rnacentral:rRNA from 1 species